AGUGAACGCUGGCGGUAGGCCUAACACAUGCAAGUCGAACGGCAGCACAGUAAGAGCUUGCUCUUACGGGUGGCGAGUGGCGGACGGGUGAGGAAUACAUCGGAAUCUACUUUUUCGUGGGGGAUAACGUAGGAAAACUUACGCUAAUACCGCAUACGACCUACGGGUGAAAGCAGGGGAUCUUCGGACCUUGCGCGAUUGAAUGAGCCGAUGUCGGAUUAGCUAGUUGGCGGGGUAAAGGCCCACCAAGGCGACGAUCCGUAGCUGGUCUGAGAGGAUGAUCAGCCACACUGGAACUGAGACACGGUCCAGACUCCUACGGGAGGCAGCAGUGGGGAAUAUUGGACAAAGGGCGCAAGCCUGAUCCAGCCAUACCGCGUGGGUGAAGAAGGCCUUCGGGUUGUAAAGCCCUUUUGUUGGGAAAGAAAAGCAGCAGGUUAAUACCCCGCUGUUCUGACGGUACCCAAAGAAUAAGCACCGGCUAACUUCGUG
rnacentral:rRNA from 1 species